CUCUCCACAACCUCUCGCUCUCUCUCUUCCUUCUUCUCUCUGCCAUCACCGGAAAACCCCAUUUCCGGCCACCAUCUCACCACACCAUUACCACCCAUCGAUCCAGAACCUAAAUCCGAUCAAAGCCCAGCCAUUCAGCCACCGAUCGAAAACUCCUAACCACCACAUGCAUGCCGGGACAACUGCGACGCCACUGCCCUCCUCGUUCGUCGAUUUCCGGCCACCACCUCUCGUCACUGCUACCACCAGUGGAACCACAAUCCAAAUCCGACCAAAACCCAAGUGAAAUCACAGCCAUGCAUCAGCCCCAACCUUCACACUCGAUUUCCAAACCUGUGAAAUCGCUGUUCAUCAUUCUUCUCUGAUUUCCGGCCGUUUCCUUGGAUCAUGCCGCCACCAACGAGCUCGGGGCAAGCCGAUUGUCAAAGCCCAGAAGCCUCUCCACUAACCCGACAUCAGAGGAACCCGUAAGUGCCAUCACCGGAGCUCAAAGCUCUGGGUUUCAACGUUCUCCAAUAUCCAGCUCAAAGCAAGCUAAACCACCUUCAGAAAUGGAAUCAGUACCUCAAAAACCUCCAACCCUCAAAACCCCAAAAUCCGGCGCUGCCCCGAAACGUCACACGCGCCGCACAUGCCGCCGUCCGGGCGUGAAAGUUUGUAACUCUGCUGCCCACGACCGCCGGACUCUCAGACUGACUUAACUAGGUGAUUUUCGACACCUCUCUUUGGUUGAGGCCUUUAUUCUAUUAUAAACCGGAAACCCUGAUUUGUGUUGUCUGAUUUGGAAUGUGAGGGAUUGGAAUCUGUGUUUUGGGAGAUUUUAGAGAACCCUGAGCUUUGGAUUUUACGAAUUUGAAGUUUUGGAGAAAAGAAACUAUUGGAUCAAUCUCCAUUGAAAAUGGAUUAAGGUGUUCCAAAACGGUUGUCGAUUGGGGAAUGCAGCUACUACGAAUUGGUUUCUAUUUUGGAAAAGAAGAAGUGGAUUCGAGCGUGUGCACUUGGAUUUGGACAAAUGAUCGAAAGUCUGGAACGAACCCGAAUGUGGACGAGCACUCCAAUUCCAGUGUGCAGGUUUCGAGCAUGUGGUCGGGGAGCGUACAGAGGAGGCACAUGGCCCGGCUUGGCGCAUUCUUCUUUAAUUUUAUCAAAAGAAGGUUUUGGUCCUUUAUCGGAUUUUGACGUAGCUUGUUUAUUUACUUUUAUUUAUUUCCUACUCGUUUACCAAAAUUUCGGGAGACCCGUAACCCUGGGGCGCGUCUCCCAUACUUGUAGUUACUUAGUGAUUUGUUUUAUUUUCCAAAUUGGGCUCCGAUUGCAAGCCCAAAACUCUUAGCCCAUUUCA